AUAUUAUUAAGCGGAGGAAAAGAAACUAACAAGGAUGCCCUCAGUAACGGCGAGUGAAGCGGGCGAAGCUCAACCUGAAAAUCGGAUAUCCAAGCGGGUGUUCGAAUUGUGGGCUAGAGACGCGUGAUCAGUGUGUGACCUGGUAUAAAUCUUUUGAAACAAGGUAUCACAGAGGGUGAGAAUCCCGUAUGCGACUGGGUGCCUAAGCUCAUGUGAAGCUCCUUCGACGAGUCGAGUUGUUUGGGAAUGCAGCUCAAAAUGGGUGGUAAAUUUCAUCUAAAGCUAAAUAUUGGCCAGAGACCGAUAGCGCACAAGUAGAGUGAUCGAAAGAUGAAAAGCACUUUGGAAAGAGAGUUAAAUAGCACGUGAAAUUGUUGAAAGGGAAGCGCUUGCAAUCAGACUUGCACGCAGUUGAUCAUCCGGUGUUCUCACUGGUGCACUCGGCUGUGUUCAGGCCAGCAUCAGUUUUGGUGGUUGGAUAAAGGCCAGAGGAAUGUGGCUUCCUUCGAGGAGUGUUAUAGCCUCUGGUGCAAUGCAGCCUACUGGGACUGAGGACCGCGCUUCGGCUAGGAUGCUGGCGUAAUGGUUGUAAGCGA
rnacentral:rRNA from 1 species